CCUACGGGUGGCAGCAGUGGGGAAUAUUGCACAAUGGGCGCAAGCCUGAUGCAGCCAUGCCGCGUGUGUGAAGAACGCCUUCGGGUUGUAAAGCACUUUCAGCGGGGAGGAAGGCGGUGAGGUUAAUAACCUCAUCGAUUGACGUUACCCGCAGAAGAAGCACCGGCUAACUCCGUGCCAGCAGCCGCGGUAAUACGGAGGGUGCAAGCGUUAAUCGGAAUUACUGGGCGUAAAGCGCACGCAGGCGGUCUGUCAAGUCGGAUGUGAAAUCCCCGGGCUCAACCUGGGAACUGCAUUCGAAACUGGCAGGCUAGAGUCUUGUAGAGGGGGGUAGAAUUCCAGGUGUAGCGGUGAAAUGCGUAGAGAUCUGGAGGAAUACCGGUGGCGAAGGCGGCCCCCUGGACAAAGACUGACGCUCAGGUGCGAAAGCGUGGGGAGCAAACAGGAUUAGAUACCCGGGUAGUC
rnacentral:rRNA from 1 species